CUGCUCUCUCGGGCGCGGCAGCCGCCGCCUUGGGCGGGCUCUGCUGAGGCAGUCGGGCGGGCGGGAACGGGGUCGCUCCCCCCGCGUUGGGGGUGCUGCGGCGUUGCCGCUGGCGAAGCGGCGUACCGAGGACCGCGGGCAGGAGGAGGGUCGCUGCGCAGAGAGCUAUGUCCCCAAAGUUGUCACCAUCAACAACAGCUACUUGCCAGCAAAGCAACUGAAGGCUGUGGAAGAACUCGUUUCCCUUUCUUGCCAGAGGCCAGGCGCCCAAAUGGGGUCUCUGAACAAAAUGAAUUUCAUUACAAGGCUUUCUGCUUUAUGUCUGAGGAAAAGCAAGAUGCAGCAGAGGCACCAAAGUAGUAGACGACCAGCUGUUCCACUUGGAUCACGGAUUUUAACUGAUCCUUCUAAGGUUUUUGAGCAUAACAUGUGGGACCACAUGCAGUGGUCACAAGAAGAAGAGGAGAAUGCCAAGGAAAAAGUAGCAGAGAACUCACUUGUGAAAGUCCAAUGGGAAGACCAAGAUAAAUAUGAGAGAGAAGCCAGUAAAUAUUGGAAUGAAUUUUACAAGACUCAUAAAAAUAACUUUUUCAAGGAUCGCAAUUGGCUGUUUCUGGAGUUCCCAGAAAUUCUUCCAGAAAAAAGGCGAGAAGAGUUGAAAACAGAACAAAGAUCUUCAGAACACACAAAAAUAAACAGUACCAACAGUUUUUCACACAAAAAUGAAAUGUCUGAGGAAGGAGAAAAAUAUUGGAAGAAAAAUUAUGGAGGUGGUUCUACUUCUGUACAAGGAUAUGUAUAUAAUAAAAAACAAGCAAAAUCUCUUACUGACAAUCCUCAGGGUAAAAACUGUGGAGAAGAACUUGGCAGGCUAGAAUCCUUCCCUGGUAGUGAUGCCACUUACAGAAUAUUAGAGGUUGGUUGUGGUGCUGGAAACAGUGUCUUUCCUAUUUUGAAAGUUCUAUGCAAUACACCUGGAACCUUUCUAUACUGUUGUGAUUUUGCUUCAGGAGCAGUGGAGCUGGUAAAGUCACAUUCAUCCUACAAUUCAGCCUGGUGUUCUGCCUUUGUUCAUGAUGUGUGUGAUGAUGCUUUACCCUAUCCUUUUCCAGAUGAGAUCCUGGAUGUCAUUCUCCUUGUCUUUGUGCUCUCUACUAUUCAUCCUGACAGGUAAAUGAAGACUAAAGGGCAAAGCAAAUGGGUUAAAUCUCUUUUAUCGCUGGAGGUUUUCAAGAACAGCAAGCAAAAGAAGAUGAUGAAUCUUUAAUUUAUUAUUUAGUAAGCUACAAUAUAUAUAUAAAACGAUGUAUUUUAAAUGCUGUUUCCCGUUUUCAGGCUUCAAGAGAAAAGCUGGUCAGGCUAAUUCAUUAGUGAGUCUCCUGUCUCCAUCAAAAUACAAGGGGUAUAUUGUAACUAAAUACAUCCCUAUUAAAAGUGACAGUGAUUCUAGAAAAUUAGAAAUUAAAAAAAGAGACUGCUAGUCUUCUAGAAGGAAAUUAUUUUUAGUGAUCAAAACCAAACAUUCAUGAUUUAACACCUUACAAUAUGUUGAUAAAGGCUUAGGUUGCUGAUUUAGCCACACGCAAAUGCUUACACGCAGGUCCUUUGAACCAAAAUGCAUUCAGAAUUCUAUAACUUGUUUGGAUUAAGAAAACUUGAUCUAAUUUUCAUGCAUAGUGUUAUGUUGAAUGCUGUUAGCCUUGUUACUAAUGCCUCUCAAUGUCUAAUGAACCAAACUUUAUGACUGUUAAGGUUGGCUGAUUGUGAAAAUGCCCUUUUUUUAAUGGGAAAAAUGCAAAAGAGGGCAUGUAAGUUAAAACUCCUUGACUUUUCCUUUAACUAGAUCACAUGAAGGGAAAUACAUGCUGUAUGUGUGGUAAUACAUUUAUUACUUUAAGAAUGUCAUUAAAAUGGGCUUGGCAAACAGAACAGUAUUUGCCUAAGUCUGAGAACUGUUUCCCUGCCUAAGUUAUUAAUGAUUAGCUUUACAGAAAAAUCUUUCCCAUAUAGGAUAUUACUCUUUCCUGUUUGUUCAGAGAUGAGCACAUGAGUCAUGCAAAGCCUGGGUCCAGAUUUCAAAAACAAUUCAAGCACUAGAUUUCAGAUCUCUGUAACAGUGGUGAUGCUGCCAUGAAGAAAUUGGACAAUAGAGAUGCAUUCAUUCAAUCGCUUUGCCUGUAGAAGCAGUAAUCAGAUGUUGUGUCAGAAUUUCUGUGGAUCUUUUCCUAUUAGACUUUUCAGAAUGUGGGGGGUGGGGGUUUGGGGUUUUUUUUUUUUUCCUCCCCAUGUCAGCAUCUAAAGGCUGACAUGUAUGCUUGUGUGUGUGUGUGUGUGUGUGUGUGUGUGUGUGUAUACACACAUAAAGAUUUCCAUGUAAUUAUCAGUGUUGUAAGACCCACUUUCCAAAGAUUUGUUAGUCAUUACUGUCAUCUCGUAGAAUUAAAAUGACUGCAUAAAGGCAAAUGUAAUCCAGAUUCAUCUUGCUCAGUAUGCAUUUUUUCUGGAAACUCUGAAAGUGGGAAAUGGAAAAGAAAACUAAGAGAGUGAUGAUGCAGAACUUACGUACUGUGGAGACCUGGAAAAUAUACAUGAGAGGGACAGAUUUGUAUUCAGCACAAUUGUUCCUUAGUGAUUUCUCUUCAGGCUGUUGUGUUUAGUUUUUGAUAAUUGCUACUUUUGUACACCAUUUUUAACACACUUCAAUUCUGCUAGAAGACCCCUCUAAAAGUUGGUUGCAGAAUUUGAAAGGUAUUAAAUUUUCUUCAAGCUAUAUAAUUGAUGUGCUCUAGUCCUACGGGAUGUGACUUCUCAAAGCACUUUCACUUUUUGUUUAUGUAAACUUCUUUUCCAUGUGCACAAAACUUAUGUUUAUAUAGGCAAAGGCUAAUUCUGUGCACAAUUACCUGCCUUGGAACAGUCUUUUAUUCUUAGGUGGUGCUGCCUUUUCUGUCUGUGGCAGCAUACUUCGUUGCCUGUGUUGACCAUGAGCAAAGAGGACAACUUUUAAAGCACUUGGCUUCCUCUAAGGGAAUUCCAUGCCUAAAAAGUGUAUGCUGCUUUUUGUUCUUGUUUGUUCGUUCAUUUGUUUGUUUGGAGAUAUGAUUUUAUUUUCUGCUGAACUACCUCCUAAUUCUGUCCCUUAAAAAUUAAGGUAAGAUGCCUGCACUGCUGUUGCAUAAAGACUAAAUUGCAUUAGUGCUUGAGUUCUGACAUUCUUGGGGCAAAGGGGCAAGGCCACCUGAGAGACAGACAUGGUGUAAGGAUGUUCUCUUGACACACAGUAAUGGUAUGCUGAUUUUGUAUACUUAAGUAGAACUUACUCUUCUUUAGCUCUUUUCAGAUACAGCACCCUGCCUUUCCUUUCCAUUCAUUUUGCAUUUGACUCUGGCUUCACAUAUUCUACAUGGUCUAUCAGCUUCCCUGUGGGAGGAAAGGUUGAAUUAGGCAAGUGGACUUUUGUACUUUGCAGCCUGUCAGGUGCAGACUGCCUUUUGUGGUCUUUCAUGAAUGUGGAAAACCUGACUCCUUUGGUUUAUUCUGAAAGAGUGAGGCAAACCCAAGCCAUUAUUCAUUAGCAAUGUAUUUUGCAGAGUAAUGCAAAUGUAUUUAUAAGAAGCUCCAAGGUAAGGUUAAAAAGUGAGAAUGAAGAUGCUCUGGUCUAGUGAAGGGGAGAGAGUACUGUGUAUGGUACUUGUUCCUAUCAUACAUACAGCAGGCUGAUGUAAUCUUGAUAAGGAAGAGGUGAUGUUACGUACCACCAAGAUUCACAAACUUGUCAGCAUUUUGGAGGAUGCAGACCUUCCUCCUCAAACUAGCAAUAUCUCCAGAUGGAGUUCUGCCAGAUUUCUCUCCUGAGGGACUACUCAGAUUCUUCUUUCCAUCCUCAACCAUUAGGUGUGGAGAUACUGAUUUUGUGUGUAUGAUCAGUACCCCCAUAAAGAAAUCAGGAUGCAAGGGGUUGUAAAUAGGUUGGCUAAACUACUGAAACCUGGAGGAAUGUUGUUAUUUCGAGACUAUGGAAGAUACGAUAC